rnacentral:rRNA from 1 species
UACAGAGGGUGCAAGCGUUAAUCGGAUUUACUGGGCGUAAAGCGUGCGUAGGCGGUUCGUUAAGUCGAUUGUGAAAGCCCUGGGCUUAACCUGGGAAUUGCAGUCGAUACUGGCGGACUAGAGAACGGUAGAGGGAGGCGGAACUCCAGGUGUAGCGGUGAAAUGCGUAGAUAUCUGGAAGAACACCGAUGGCGAAGGCAACCUCCUGGGCCUGUUCGGACGCGGAGGCAAGAAAGCGGGGGUAGCACACAGGCUGCGAUAACCCCGUAGUCC